rnacentral:rRNA from 1 species
GAAUUCGCCCUUGGGGAAUUUUCCGCAAUGGGCGAAAGCCUGACGGAGCAAUACCGCGUGAGGGAGGAAGGCUCUUGGGUUGUAAACCUCUUUUCUCAGGGAAGAAAAAAAUGACGGUACCUGAGGAAUAAGCAUCGGCUAACUCCGUGCCAGCAGCCGCGGUAAUACGGAGGAUGCAAGCGUUAUCCGGAAUGAUUGGGCGUAAAGGGUCCGCAGGCGGCAUUGUAAGUCUGCUGUUAAAGAGUUUGGCUCAACCAAAUAAGAGCAGUGGAAACUACAAAGCUAGAGUGUGGUCGGGGCAGAGGGAAUUCCUGGUGUAGCGGUGAAAUGCGUAGAUAUCAGGAAGAACACCAGUGGCGAAGGCGCUCUGCUAGGCCGAGACUGACACUGAGGGACGAAAGCUAGGGGAGCGAAUGGGAUUAGAUACCCCAGUAGUCCUAGCCGUAAACGAUGGAUACUAGGCGUAGCUCGUAUCGACCCGAGCUGUGCCGGAGCUAACGCGUUAAGUAUCCCGCCUGGGGAGUACGCAGGCAACUGUGAAACUCAAAGGAAUUGACGGGGGCCCGCACAAGCGGUGGAGUAUGUGGUUUAAUUCGAUGCAACGCGAAGAACCUUACCAAGGCUUGACAUGUCACGAAUCCUGUGGAAACAUAGGAGUGCCUUAGGGAGCGUGAA